rnacentral:rRNA from 1 species
CUUUACUGUAGCCUGGUAUUGGGUUCGGGCUUUGACUGCGCAGGAUAGGAGGGAGACUGAGAAGUGUGCCUUGUGGGGCACCUGGAGUCAACGGUGAGAUACCACUCUGUCAGAGCUAGAAUUCUAACCUUCACCCGUAAUCCGGGGAAGGAACCGUAUCAGGUGGGCAGUUUGACUGGGGCGGUCGCCUCCUAAAAGGUAACGGAGGCGCGCAAAGGUGUUCUCAGGCUGGUUGGAGAUCAGCCGUAGAGUGUAAAGGCAGAAGAACGCUUGACUGUGAGAGUGACAACUCAAGCAGGGUGGAAACACGGCCUUAGUGAUCCGACGGUAUGCGCGUGGAAGUGCCGUCGCUCAACGGAUAAAAGUUA